GGACGCAUCACUGGUGUUCGGGUUGUCAUGCCAAUGGCACUGCCCGGUAGCUAAAUGCGGAAGAGAUAAGUGCUGAAAGCAUCUAAGCACGAAACUUGCCCCGAGAUGAGUUCUCCCUGACCCUUUAAGGGUCCUGAAGGAACGUUGAAGACGACGACGUUGAUAGGCCGGGUGUGUAAGCGCAGCGAUGCGUUGAGCUAACCGGUACUAAUGAACCGUGAGGCUUAACCUUAC
rnacentral:rRNA from 2 species